GUUUUGAGACAUGAGCUCCUUUCCUCCCCAGUGAGGACGCAAAUGAAGACACCUGCAGCCUUCCAGACUGCUUGCAGCUAUUCCACCCCCAGGAAUGGAGCUGGCCACUUAUUUAAAGGUGGGAUGGGAAGCUAUUAGAGGAUUUCAGGAGGACUUGGUGCAGUUGGAUUAUGAUUUGGAAGGCCCACUCCAGCUACUAUGUGAAAACUGAUAGCAGUGGAACAACAGUGAAAGCAAGAGGACCCGUUAGAAAGUUAGUACAAGACGUCAGGCAGAGGUGAGGUUCAUGGUGGUGGAUUGGACUUAAUGGUACCUGUGGAGAUGGCAAGAACUGGGCAGACUCGAUGUAUUUGGAACAACUGAGAAUAAUUAUCGUUGGGUUGUAUUUAAGGUGGGAAAGAGAGGGUUCAAAGAUGAUACCUUCUGAAUUUGGGAGCCUCAGCAACUAAGGGAACAGCUGGUACAAUUUAUUGGGCUGGGAAAAAAUAAAGCCUAGAGAAGUGGGUUUAAAGUAAUAGGUUAUGGUGGACAUUAAGCAUUUGUUUUAAUAUUAAGUGGGAGAUGUCAAUAUAAUUUAAGUGGAUAUGUCAGGGGAUUUACCAUAAUAAAGCUACAUCAAAAUGUAACACCUCAGAAUGAUAUUCCCCUCUGUGUACACAGCCCAUCUCUGUUCGUGUCAUUUCCCCACACAGGACCCCAUCUUUACUGCCA
rnacentral:lncRNA from 1 species